rnacentral:rRNA from 1 species
CCUACGGGUGGCAGCAGUGGGGAAUAUUGGACAAUGGGCGAAAGCCUGAUCCAGCCAUGCCGCGUGUGUGAAGAAGGCCUUCGGGAUGUAAAGCACUUUCAGUGGGGAAGAAAGCCUUGGGGCUAAUACCCUCGAGGAAGGACAUCACCCACAGAAGAAGCACCGGCUAACUCCGUGCCAGCAGCCGCGGUAAUACGGAGGGUGCGAGCGUUAAUCGGAAUUACUGGGCGUAAAGCGCGCGUAGGCGGUCUGAUAAGCCGGUUGUGAAAGCCCCGGGCUCAACCUGGGAACGGCAUCCGGAACUGUCAGGCUAGAGUGCAGGAGAGGAAGGUAGAAUUCCCGGUGUAGCGGUGAAAUGCGUAGAGAUCGGGAGGAAUACCAGUGGCGAAGGCGGCCUUCUGGACUGACACUGACGCUGAGGUGCGAAAGCGUGGGUAGCAAACAGGAUUAGAUACCCCGGUAGUC